UACGUAGGGUGCAAGCGUUAUCCGGAAUUAUUGGGCGUAAAGAGCUCGUAGGCGGUUUGUCGCGUCUGCUGUGAAAACCGGAGGCUCAACCUCCGGCCUGCAGUGGGUACGGGCAAACUAGAGUGCGGUAGGGGAGAUUGGAAUUCCUGGUGUAGCGGUGGAAUGCGCAGAUAUCAGGAGGAACACCGAUGGCGAAGGCAGAGCUCUGGGCCGGAACUGACGCUGAGGAGCGAAAGCGUGGGGAGCGAACAGG
rnacentral:rRNA from 1 species